UGCAUAAGUCGGCAGUAAGGUGCCCUCGCACAUAGCACGAGGGGUAACAGGGAAUCGGGUGCAAAUCCCGAGCGGUCCCGCCACUGUAACCGGGGAGCUAUCUCUCAGCAAUGUCACUCAAUCCACGUUGGGGAAGACGAGAGAACGCGAUGAUUCGGAAGCCAGGAGACCUACCUUGCUCGCUACACCAAG
rnacentral:ncRNA from 1 species